rnacentral:rRNA from 1 species
CUUUCUUUGAUGGCGACCGGCGCACGGGUGAGUAACACGUAUCCAACCUGCCGAUGACUCGGGGAUAGCCUUUCGAAAGAAAGAUUAAUACCCGAUGGCAUAGUUCUUCCGCAUGGUAGAACUAUUAAAGAAUUUCGGUCAUCGAUGGGGAUGCGUUCCAUUAGGUUGUUGGCGGGGUAACGGCCCACCAAGCCUUCGAUGGAUAGGGGUUCUGAGAGGAAGGUCCCCCACAUUGGAACUGAGACACGGUCCAAACUCCUACGGGAGGCAGCAUG